UUUCCAGACUCCUACGGGAGGCAGCAGUGAGGAAUAUUGGUCAAUGGGCGGAAGCCUGAACCAGCCAAGUCGCGUGAGGGAAGAAGGCCCUGCGGGUCGCAGACCUCUUUGGACCGGGAGCAAGGCCGCCGACGUGUCGGCGGAAGGAGAGUACCCGUAGAACAAGCAUCGGCUAACUCCGUGCCAGCAGCCGCGGUAAUACGGAGGAUGCGAGCGUUAUCCGGAUUCACUGGGUGUAAAGGGAGCGUAGACGGCCGUGCAAGCCAGGAGUGAAAGCCCGGGGCCCAACCCCGGGACUGCUCUUGGAACUGCGCGGCUGGAGUGCAGGAGGGGCAGGCGGAAUUCCUGGUGUAGCGGUGAAAUGCGUA
rnacentral:rRNA from 1 species